rnacentral:rRNA from 1 species
UACGUAGGGGGCGAGCGUUGUUCGGAUUCACUGGGCGUAAAGGGUGCGUAGGCGGUCGGGUAAGUCUGAUGUGAAAUCUCACAGCUUAACUGUGAAACUGCAUUGGAUACUAUUCGGCUUGAGAGUUGGAGGGGGGACUGGAAUUCUUGGUGUAGCAGUGAAAUGCGUAGAUAUCAAGAGGAACACCAGUGGCGAAGGCGAGUCCCUGGACAACUUCUGACGCUGAGGCACGAAAGCCAGGGGAGCAAACGGG